rnacentral:pre_miRNA from 13 species
ACCGACUCCCUGAGACCCUAGCUUGUGACGUCUUUUGUACACUCACAAGUUUGAAUCUCGGGAUUGG